GAAAUGCGAUAAGUAAUGUGAAUUGCAGAAUUCAGUGAAUCAUCGAAUCUUUGAACGCACCUUGCGCUCCUUGGUAUUCCGAGGAGCAUGCCUGUUUGAGUGUCAUGAAAUCUUCAAUCUUAUAGGUCUUUGCGGGUCUAUAAGCUUGGACUUGGAGGCUUGUCGGUAAUAAUGCCCGGCUCCUCUUAAAUGCAUUAGCUUGAUUCCUUGCGGAUCGGCUCUCGGUGUGAUAAUUGUCUACGCCGUGACCGUGAAGCGUUUUGGCAAGCUUCUAACUGUCUUGUAAGAGACACUAUUUAUGACCUCUGACCUCAAAUCAGGUAGGACUACCCGCUGAACUUAA
rnacentral:rRNA from 1 species